rnacentral:tRNA from 1 species
GCCUGGGUGGCUCAGCCGGUUAAGCAUCUGACUUCGGCUCAGGUCAUGAUCUCGCGGUUUGUGGGUUCGAGCCCCGCGUCGGGCU